rnacentral:rRNA from 1 species
CAGUAGCCGCGGUAAUACGAAGGGUGCAAGCGUUAAUCGGAAUUACUGGGCGUAAAGCGUGCGUAGGCGGUGAGUUAAGUCUGCUGUGAAAUCCCCGGGCUCAACCUGGGAAUGGCAGUGGAUACUGGCUCGCUAGAGUGUGUCAGAGGAUGGUGGAAUUCCCGGUGUAGCGGUGAAAUGCGUAGAGAUCGGGAGGAACAUCAGUGGCGAAGGCGGCCAUCUGGGACAACACUGACGCUGAGGCACGAAAGCGUGGGGAGCAAACAGGAUUAGAUACCCCUGAGUCCCUGUCUCUUAUACC